rnacentral:rRNA from 1 species
AUAGUAUCGCAAGAGGAAGAGACGGCUAACUCUGUGCCAGCAGCCGCGGUAAUACAGAGGUCUCAAGCGUUGUUCGGAAUCACUGGGCGUAAAGGGUGCGUAGGUGGCGUGGUAAGUCAGAUGUGAAAGCCCGGGGCUCAACCUCGGAAUUGCAUCCGAUACUGCCAUGCUAGAGUAUUGGAGAGGAGUCUAGAAUUCACGGUGUAGCAGUGAAAUGCGUAGAUAUCGUGAGGAAUACCAAAGGCGAAGGCAGGACUCUGGACAAUUACUGACACUGAUGCACGAAGGCUAGGGGAGCGAACGGGAUUAGAUACCCCGGUAGUCCUAGCAGUAAACGGUGCACGCUUGGUGUGCGCAGGUUCGACCCUGUGCGCGCCGGAGCUAACGCGUUAAGCGUGCCGCCUGGGAAGUACGGUCGCAAGAUUAAAACUCAAAGAAAUUGACGGGGACCCGCACAAGCGGUGGAGUAUGUGGCUUAAUUCGAUGCAACGCGAAGAACCUUACCUGGAUUUGACAUGCAUUGUGUCGUCGAUGAAAGUCGGCUAGUGUAGCAA